UUAACGUAUAUUUAUUUUAUUUGAUUACAUUCUAAACAUUUUAACGAUUUAUGAAAUCAAAAAUAAUUUUAGAAUUUUAUGUUGAAAAGAAUUUGAAUUACGAAAAUACGUUUUUACUUAGAAAACAAUCAUAAUCGGUUUCGAAUUCAAACAUAAACUCAAUUAUAAUCCUAGCCCAAAUAACAAAGCCCAAAAUAAAUAACCCCAAAUAAACCCAUAACCCUUUCUCCUAUUCAACUUCACGUGAAACAAAAAUAAAAAGAGAAACAAAAGAAAACUCUCAAACCCUUGCUUCACCAUUCACGUGAAAACGCACAAGACUCUCUGCUUCAGCCACCGCCGCUCCUCCUUGCUGCUAUCCCUCACGCCGCCGGCCACCUCCUCCGUCGCGCGCAACCUCCCUCGCCGGACGCCGCACCACCACUGUCAACCGCUGCCACCUUGCCACGCCGCACCGCGACGACCACCUGCACCGCCUGAAGCUGGCCGUCGUCGCUGCCCUUGCGGCCAUCACUUCUCUCGUUCGUCCCUUCUCUUUUCCCCCUUUGCUUGCUGCUCGGUUCUCCUUUCGCAAGCAACAUUGCAGUCGUUCGCGAGCCUCCUCGUCGCCGCGCACCACCACCUUCGUCAACCAGCCAUCAGCCGCCGCCCAGCCAUCUCCUCUCCUCCUUGAUUUCGGCGGAGAAUUCUUUGUGGGCGACUUUUGAAUUCGUUAAAGUGGCCUAUCAGUUUGUUUACACAAGUCUCUAAGGAUCAAUAAGCGUUGCCCAUCUACAGGUUUGAAGAUGAUGCAUCAUUGGGAUCGGGAUUAGAGAGCUUGUAGUUCUAUUCGUUUAAUUAAGUGAUUUAAUUUGUUAACUUGGAUUUGAAAUUUGUCGUACUAUUCGUAUUUCUUUAAUUCAGUUAAUUGGUUUGGACCUAAUAUGUAAUAGAUUAUUUAUGAACCUAAAAGUUAGUUUUAUGUUUUCCGCUGCAA